CGGGAUGUAGCGCAGCUUGGCUAGCGCGUUUGACUGGGGGUCAAAAGGUCGCAAGUUCAAAUCUUGUCAUCCCGACCA
rnacentral:tRNA from 1 species